GUUUGAUUAUUCACAACUGUGAUUGGUCGAGACGGAGACAAAGUUUAACGUUAAGUUUAGAGUGUACAUGUAAAUUCAUCAAUAAAAAAGCUAUUUUACUGUGAAAUGAUAAUAACUGUUAGUUUAUUAAAUGAAAUAUUUACUUUUCUUUACUCGCAUAAUAUAAAACAUAAUAUUGUUGCAAACAUAAUGUCAUAAGACUAACCCACUGAAGACACCAGAAAGCUUUAUAUGUAUACAGAUUGAAACUUUAAAAUUACUGAUAUAUGGUGAUUCACCAGGAGGCACAUAGAAGAUACAUUUCCAGCAGAUAUAGCGCAUAAAAUGUUACUAAGAUAAUAUUAAAAUAAUAUUGUAAAAGAUAAUAAAUACUUAUAAUUUAUAUUAGAUUACUAUUA